rnacentral:lncRNA from 1 species
GCUGAAUGAAGGCACAGCUCACAAUCUAUAAGAUGAGGCAAGACUGCCAUAAAGAUUUUAUGAGUCCAAGAGAAACAUCACUCAAGCAGGAUUUAUUUCAAAAGCAUCACUUUGAAACCGUGGGAUGUUGCUUAAAGGGGAAGCAAAGCUCAUCCUGAGGCUUGAAAGAGGAUUCAGAAUCACAUACUUCAAACCUCUGCUCAAGGACACCUCUAGCUAAUGUGUCUGCCACUUAUCAAGACCUUUUCCCUCAAGAUGGACAAUUAACUACCCAUGAACCGGUGCUGUAUUCCUCUCAGUUGGCCAUGUGCUGGUGUAAAAGAGUCAGAGGCUGGUAAGGUGAUUUUGAAGCAUAAAGUGGGGGUGUGGCAUCCCUGGGCCCUAAGCCCUGAGUUGAUUGCAUCUGUAGGAGGUGAACAGCCAAAUGUGGAUGGAAACAAG